rnacentral:rRNA from 1 species
AGCGAACGCUGGCGGCAGGCCUAACACAUGCAAGUCGAGCGCCGUAGCAAUACGGAGCGGCAGACGGGAGAGUAACACGUGGGAACGUACCCUUUGGUUCGGAACAACCCAGGGAAACUUGGGCUAAUACCGAAUAAGCCCUCACGGGGAAAGAUUUAUCGCCGAAGGAUCGGCCCGCGUCUGAUUAGCUAGUUGGUGAGGUAAUGGCCCACCAAGGCGACGAUCAGUAGCUGGUCUGAGAGGAUGAUCAGCCUCACUGGGACUGAGACACGGCCCAGACGCCUACGGGAGGCAGCAGUGGGGAAUAUUGGACAAUGGGCGCAAGCCUGAUCCAGCCAUGCCGCGUGGGUGGUGAAGGCCCUAGGGUUGUAAAGCCCUUUCGGCGGGGAAGAUAAUGACGGUACCCGCAGAAGAAGCCCCGGCUAACUUCGUGCCAGCAGCCGCAGUAA